rnacentral:lncRNA from 1 species
UUUAUUUCCAUUUUUCUUACAGAUAUCCUGUACUGUCCCUCCACUCUCUCCUAUCAUUUUGGACAUUCUGCCUUUCUAUCUCUCCUCUAUCCAACUCUGACUAUUUGAACAGCUAUUGCCAGCCUUUACAACCUAUUUUGAAAGCCUUUACCACAGCCUUUGACAGCCUUUAAAAACCGUUGUGAAAGCCUUUAAGAAAGGCUUUGACUGCCUUUGACAGCCUUUCUACCACUUUUAGAGCCUUAAAAAGAGGCAUUCAGACACUUUGAGAACACUUUUUGGAAACAAGCUUUUUUUUUCAACUGAUCGCGUGUAAAAGCAAUACUUUUGAAACAGCAAAAUCUUU